rnacentral:rRNA from 1 species
AUAGCUUCUGGAAUUUAUAUGAAGUGACGUCUGCCCGGUGAUCUACGGAUUUAACGGCCGCGAUUUUCGUGCUAAGGUAGCAUAAUAAUUUGUCUUUUUAUUGGAGACUGGAAUGAAUGGAUAAUUACGAGGCUCAGCUGUCUCUAUUUAUUGGUAAAAAAUUGAUUUAAAAGUGAAAAAUCUUUUAUAGCUGUGUAGGACGAAAAGACCCUGUAGAGUUUGUAGUGAAAUUGACUAUUUUAUGUUGAUUUUUUAUUUUUAUACAUGUUAUGGUCUAAUGCACUUUUAUUGGGGCAAUAGAAGAAAAUUUAAAAUUCUAAAUUUAUAAUUUUAUGACAAUAAAAUUUUGAUCCUUAAAAAGAAUUAGGAAAAACUACCUCAGGGAUAACAGCGUAAUCUUACCAGAGAGAACUAAUCGAAGGAAGGGUUUGCGACCUCGAUGUUGGACUAAGGUAUCUUUAUGGUGCAGAAGCUAUAAAUAGUAGGCCUGUUCGGCCUUUAAAACCUUACAUGAU